AUGGAGGCCACCGUGCACUCGUGCAAGCCCGUGAAGCCUGACUACGGUGACUGCGGCGUCGGUCCCUCCUCCGACGUCGUCCCUCUCAGCAUAUUUGACAAGGUGAGCUACGACGAGUACGUCACCGGCCUAUGCGCCUUCCACCCGCCUGCGCCGGCGAACAACGUCCUUGAGGCGGGGCUUGCUAAGGUGCUGGCCGAGUACCGCGAGUGGGCCGGGCGGCUUGGCGCGGACGACGGAGGCAACCGUGCCAUCAUGCUCAACGACGCCGGUGCACGGUUCGUCGAGGCGACGGCGGACGUCAUGCUCGCCAGCACCCUCAUGCAGCUGACCACGGGUGACAAGCUGCUGAGCCUGUUCCCGAGCUGCCACGGCGCCGACGAGCUGCUGCUGGCCCAGGUCACGCGGUUCCGGUGCGGCUCCAUCAUCAUUGGCGUCAGCAUGCAUCACAAGGUGGCCGAUGGGCACGCCAUCUGGACUUUCUUGUUCGAGUGGGGCCAGGCCACCCGCGGCGUCGCCAUCAGCCCCGUCCCGGUGCACGACCCGUAG
rnacentral:rRNA from 1 species